GGGGAUGUGGCUCAGCGGUAGCGCGCUCGCCUGGCAUGCGAGUGGCCCAGGUUCAAUCCUCAGCACCA
rnacentral:tRNA from 1 species